ACGUGAGUAACCUGCCCUUGACUCUGGGAUAAGCCUGGGAAACUGGGUCUAAUACCGGAUACGACCAUCUGGCGCAUGUCAUGGUGGUGGAAAGCUUUUGUGGUUUUGGAUGGACUCGCGGCCUAUCAGCUUGUUGGUGGGGUAAUGGCCUACCAAGGCGACGACGGGUAGCCGGCCUGAGAGGGUGACCGGCCACACUGGGACUGAGACACGGCCCAGACUCCUACGGGAGGCAGCAGUGGGGAAUAUUGCACAAUGGGCGAAAGCCUGAUGCAGCGACGCCGCGUGAGGGAUGACGGCCUUCGGGUUGUAAACCUCUUUCAGUAGGGAAGAAGCGAAAGUGACGGUACCUGCAGAAGAAGCGCCGGCUAACUACGUGCCAGCAGCCGCGGUAAUACGUAGGGCGCAAGCGUUAUCCCGGAAUUAUUGGGCGUAAAGAGCCUCGUAGGCGGUUUGUCGCGUCUGCUGUGAAAGAACGGGGCUCAACUCCCGUUCUGCAGAGGGUAC
rnacentral:rRNA from 1 species